rnacentral:lncRNA from 1 species
GGUGUUGAAAUAGAUGAAACAUAUGAUGCAACAGAUGAAGACAUCUGAUAAAAUAGAUAAAGACAUCUGAUGCAACAGAUAAAGACAUCUGAUGCAUCAGAUGUUAACAUCAGAUGCAACAGAUUAAAAUCUGAUACAACUAUGAAAAUUGAUGCAACAGAUGAACAAUCUAACAGAUCAUUCAUCUGUUACGACAGAGGACUCUUCUGUUUGGAAGAAAU